ACGGGUGCGUAACGCGUAUGCAAUCUGCCUUUCACAGAGGGAUAGCCCAGAGAAAUUUGGAUUAAUACCUCAUAGUAUUAUUGGGUGGCAUCACUUAAUAAUUAAAGUCACAACGGUGAAAGAUGAGCAUGCGUCCCAUUAGCUAGUUGGUAAGGUAACGGCUUACCAAGGCAACGAUGGGUAGGGGUCCUGAGAGGGAGAUCCCCCACACUGGUACUGAGACACGGACCAGACUCCUACGGGAGGCAGCAGUGAGGAAUAUUGGUCAAUGGACGCAAGUCUGAACCAGCCAUGCCGCGUGCAGGAUGACGGUCCUAUGGAUUGUAAACUGCUUUUGUACGAGAAGAAACAACAUUACGUGUAAUGUCUUGACGGUAUCGUAAGAAUAAGGAUCGGCUAACUCCGUGCCAGCAGCCGCGGUAAUACGGAGGAUCCAAGCGUUAUCCGGAAUCAUUGGGUUUAAAGGGUCCGUAGGCGGUUUAGUAAGUCAGUGGUGAAAGCCCAUCGCUCAACGGUGGAACGGCCAUUUAUACUGCUGAACUUGAAUUAUUAGGAAGUAACUAGAAUAUGUAGUGUAGCGGUGAAAUGC
rnacentral:rRNA from 1 species